AGAGUUUGAUCCUGGCUCAGGAUGAACGCUGGCGGUCUGCUUAACACAUGCAAGUCGAACGGAAGUAGCAAUACUUUAGUGGCGGACGGGUGAGUAACGCGUGAGAAUCUACCUUCAGGACGGAGACAACAGUUGGAAACGACUGCUAACCCCCGAUGUACCGCAAGGGCAAAUAUUUAUAGCCUGAAGAAGAGCUCGCGUCCGAUUAGCUAGUUGGGGGGGUAAAAGCCCACCAAGGCGACGAUCGGUAGCUGGUCUGAGAGGACGAUCAGCCACACUGGGACUGAGACACGGCCCAGACUCCUACGGGAGGCAGCAGUGGGGAAUUUUCCGCAAUGGGCGCAAGCCUGACGGAGCAAGACCGCGUGGGGGAGGAAGGCUCUUGGGUUGUAAACCCCUUUUCUCUGGGAAGAACAAAAUGACGGUACCAGAGAAUC
rnacentral:rRNA from 1 species